rnacentral:siRNA from 1 species
CGAGCCUAUGCUUUUGAUAGA